GCUCUGAGCUCCAAGCUGAUCUCCCAGCAGAAAGCCUUCUUUGCUAAGAUGGUGGUUGAUGCUGUGAUGAUGCUUGAUGAUUUGCUGCAGCUUAAAAUGAUUGGAAUCAAGAAGGUACAGGGUGGAGCCCUGGAGGAGUCUCGGCUGGUGGCUGGUGUUGCAUUCAAGAAGAUUUUCUCUUACGCUGGAUUUGAAAUGCAACCUAAAAAGUACAAUAACCCCACAAUUGCCCUGUUAAAUGUUGAACUUGAGCUGAAAGCUGAAAAAGACAAUGCUGAAAUCAGAGUCCACACAGUAGAGGAUUAUCAGGCAAUCGUUGAUGCUGAGUGGAACAUUCUGUAUGACAAGUUAGAGAAGAUCUAUAAUUCCGGAGCCAAAGUUGUUUUGUCCAAACUCCCUAUUGGGGAUGUGGCCACCCAGUACUUCGCUGAUAGGGACAUGUUCUGCGCCGGCUGUGUGCCUGAGGAGGAUUUGAAGAGGACAAUGAUGGCCUGUGGAGGCUCAAUCCAGACCAGCGUGAAUGCUCUAUCAGCAGAUGUGCUGGGCCACUGCCAGCUGUUCGAAGAGACCCAGAUUGGAGGUGAAAGAUACAAUUUCUUCACUGGCUGCCCCAAGGCUAAGACUUGCACCUUCAUCCUCCGCGGCGGAGCUGAGCAGUUCAUGGAGGAGACAGAGCGGUCUCUGCAUGACGCCAUCAUGAUUGUCAGGAGGGCCAUCAAGAAUGAUUCAGUGGUGGCUGGAGGUGGAGCCAUCAAGAUGGAGCUCUCUAAGUACCUUCGGGAUUACUCAAGGACUAUCCCAGGAAAGCAGCAGCUCCUGAUUGGGACAUAUGCCAAGGCCUUGGAGAUUAUCCCAUGCCAGCUAUGUGACAAUGCUGGCUUUGAUGCUACAAACAUCCUGAACAAACUACGGGCUCGGCAUGCCCAGGGCGGCAUGUGGUAUGGGGUGGACAUCAACAAUGAGGACAUUACUGACAACUUCGAGGCUUUUGUGUGGGAGCCAGCUAUGGUGCGGAUCAAUGCCCUCACAGCAGCCUCUGAGGCUGCAUGCCUGAUCGUGUCCGUUGAUGAGACCAUCAAGAACCCUCGCUCCACCAUGGAUACUCCUCCAGCAGCGGGCCGGGGCCAGGGCCGCCUUCCUUGAGAUCCCACCCAUCACACUGGCUGGCAGCUGGCUGCAGGU